CAGGGGGGGAGCUUACCAUGCAAGUCGAACGCCCCGCCGGGGAUUGGCGGACGGGUGAUUACGCGUGGGAAAUACCCUUUCCUGCGGAGCCCUCCGGGAAACUGGAAUUAAUACCGCAUACGCCCUACGGGGGAAUGUUUAUCGGGGAAGGAUUGGCCCUUGUUGGAUUAGCUAGUUGGUGGGGUAAAGGCCUACCAUCGCGACGAUCCAUAGCUGGUCUGAGAGGAUGAUCACCACCGUUGGGACUGAUACACGGCCCAAACUCCUACCGGAGGCAGCAAUGGGGAAUAUUGUACAAUGGGCGCAAGCCUGAUCCAACCUUGCCGCGUGAGUGAUGAACGCCUUAAGGUUGUCCACCUCUUUCACCAGAGAAUACAAUGACUGUAUCCCGAUAAGAAGCCCCGGCUAACUUCGUGCCGUCAGCCGCGGUAAUACGAAGGGGGCUAGCGUUGUUCGGAAUUACUGGGCGUAAAGCGCACGUAGGCGGAUAUUUAAGUCAGGGGUGAAAUCCUCGAGCUCAACUCUGGAACUGCCUUUGAUACUGGGUAUCUUGAGUAUGGAAGCAGGCAUCUGGAACUCCGAGUGUAGAGGUGAAAUUCGUAGACUUCAAUUCGAACACGUAGUGGCGAAAGCCGCUUACUGGUCCAUUACUGACGCUGACGUGCGAAAGCGUGGGGAGCACACCUGACUCUAUACCCUCGGUAGCAUGCGCCAGUAAACGAUGAAUUAGUAUAGCCCGUGCGUAGCACUAUACUGUAUACGUGGCGCAGCUUAACUGCAUGUGCAUCAUUUCCGCCCUGGUUGCAGUGCCGUCAGCAAGAUUAAAACUCAAAGGAAUUGACGGGGGCCCGCACAAGCGGUGGAGCAUGUGGUUUAAUUCGAAGCAACGCGCAGAACCUUACCAGCUCUUGACAUUCGGGGUAAGGGCAUUGGAGAGGAUGUCUUUCAGUUAGGCUGGCCCCAGAACAGGUGCUGCAUGGUUGUCGUCAGCUCGUGUCGUGAGAUGUUGGGUUAAGUCCCGCAACGAGCGCAACCCUCGCCCUUAGUUGCCAGCAUUUAGUUGGGCACUGUAAGGGGACUGCCGGUGAUAAGCCGAGAGGAAGGUGGGGAUGAAAUCAAGUCCUCAUGGCCCUUACGGGCUGGGCUACACACGUGCUACAAUGGUGGUGACAGUGGGCAGCGAGACAGGGAUGUCGAGCUAAUCUCCAAAAGCCAUAUCAGUUCGGAUUGCACUCAACAAGACCCCAGCAGAAGUUGGAAUUGGUAAUAAUAGCAGAUCAGCAUGGUGCGGAGAAUAUUUUCCCGCCCUUUGCACACACCCCCCGUCACCCCAUGGGAGUUGGUCUUACCAGAAGGUAGUGCCUAACCGCAAGGAGGCAGUAACCACGGUAGGAUCAGCGAUUGGGGGAAGUCGAACCAAGUGGAAGG
rnacentral:rRNA from 1 species